GUCCUGUUUGUUUUGAGAUAAUAGAAGAAGCUCAUAUGACUAAAUGUGGCCAUACAUUUUGUUAUAAAUGCAUCACUGCAAGUCUAGAGCAAAGUAAUAGAUGUCCAAAAUGUAAUUAUGUUAUUGAGAAGAAAGAUCAAAUAUUCCCUAACUUCUUACUAAAUGAAUUAAUAACAAAAUAUCAGCAACAAAAAGAAAAGAAACGGAAAAUUGAAAAUUCU